UGUCUUUGGGGCAGGGUGAAAUUCCUGACCGAUGGUAAAGUCCAUGAGCCUUUGAAAAAGGUUGAUUCGGUGAAAUUCCGAAACCGACGGUAUAGUCCGGAUGGGAAAAGAU
rnacentral:ncRNA from 1 species